GCCCGGGUGGCGGAAUUGGUAGACGCGCCAGACUAAGGAUCUGGUGCCCUCACGGGCGUGCUGGUUCGAUUCCAGUCUCGGGCACCA
rnacentral:tRNA from 1 species